AAUCAACAUAACCAAAGGACGUGGAUAAACUCGGGAAACUGAGGCUAAACCGCGAUAGAUCAAGAUACCUGGAAUGGUUUUUGAUCAAAAUCUAUAUGGCCUUUGGAUUGGACUGCGUCCGAUCAGGCUGUUGGUGAGGUAAUGGCCCACCAAACCUAUAACCGGUACGGGCUCUGAGAGGAGGAGCCCGGAGAUGGGUACUGAGAUAAGGGCCCAGGCCCUAUGGGGCGCAGCAGGCGCGAAACCUCUGCAAUAGGCGAAAGCUUGACAGGGUUACUCUGAGUGACUUUCGUUAAGAAAGUCUUUUGACACCUCUAAAAAUGGUGUAGAAUAAGGGGUGGGCAAGUCUGGUGUCAGCCGCCGCGGUAAUACCAGCACCCCGAGUGGUCGGGACGAUUAUUGGGCCUAAAGCAUCCGUAGCCGGCCUUACAAGUCCUCCGUUAAAUCCAGCUGCUUAACAGAUGGGCUGCGGAGGAUACUAUAAGACUAGGAGGCAGGAGAGGCAAGCGGUACUCAGUGGGUAGGGGUAAAAUCCGCUGAUCCAUUAAAGACCACCAGUGGCGAAGGCGGCUUGCCAGAAUGCGCUCGACGGUGAGGGAUGAAAGCUGGGGGAGCAAACCGGAUUAGAUACCCGGGUAGUCCCAGCCGUAAACGAUGCAGACUCGGUGAUGGACUAGCUUUAUGCUGGUCCAGUGCCGCAGGGAAGCCGUUAAGUCUGCCGCCUGGGUAGUACGGUCGCAAGACUGAAGCUUAA
rnacentral:rRNA from 1 species